GGGUGUUAUGACUUGUCUGGUCAAUCGAGUUGUGCUCUGAUUGGACGGUGAUCAAGCAGCGGUUUGAUUAAUCUAAAUAAGGCAGACAUAGCAGACAUAUAAGUGCCGUACGAUAAUUCAAGAAGUUCAACAGAUCGUAAGAUGCUACGAGUCUGUUAAGACUUGGUACAACUGAACUUGAUUUCCUGAAUAAAAAUAUAAUCACCAACGAA